rnacentral:tRNA from 1 species
GCCGCCGUAGCUCAGCCGGUAGAGCGCCGGCCUCGUAUGGGCUCUGGCCAAGGCCGAGGUCGAGAGAGCCGGUGGUCGCGGGUUCAAGUCCCGCCGGCGGCU